rnacentral:tRNA from 1 species
GAGGGUGUAGCUCAGGGACAGAGCGCAUGCCCAGCAUGCAUGAGGUCCUGGGUUCACUCCCCAGCACCCCCA